rnacentral:rRNA from 1 species
UACGAAGGGGGCUAGCGUUGUUCGGAAUUACUGGGCGUAAAGGGCGCGUAGGCGGCGCGAUAAGUUGGGCGUGAAAGGCCCGGGCUCAACCCGGGGACUGCGCUUGAUACUGGCGCGCUGUGAGUCCGGGAGAGGAUGGCGGAAUUCCCAGUGUAGAGGUGAGAUUCGUAGAUAUUGGGAAGAACACCGGUGGCGAAGGCGGCCAUCUGGACCGGCACUGACGCUGAGGCGCGAAAGCGUGGGGAGCAAACAGG